AUUGAACGCUGGCGGCAGGCCUAACACAUGCAAGUCGAACGAGUGGCGGACGGGUGAUCAAUGUCUGGGAAACUGCCCGAUGGAGGGGGCUAACUACUGGAAACGGUAGCUAAUACCGCAUCCCAUCGGAUGUGCCCAGAUGUGAUUAGCUAGUAUGUGGGGUAACGGCUCACCUAGGCGACGAUCCCUAGCUGGUCUGCGAGGAUGACCAGCCACACUGGACCUUAGACACGGUCCAGACUCCUACGGGAGGCAGCAGUGGGGAAGAUUGGACAAUGGGCGCAAGCCUGAUGCAGCCAUGCCGCGUGUAUGAAGAAGGCCUUCGGGUUGUAAAGUACUUUCAGCGAGGAGGCGUUACUCGCAGAAGAAGCACCGGCUAACUCCGUGCCAGCAGCCGCGGUAAUAC
rnacentral:rRNA from 1 species